rnacentral:rRNA from 1 species
UACGGAGGGUGCGAACGUUAAUCGGAAUUACUGGGCGUAAAGCGCACGUAGGCGGUUCGUUAAGUGGGAUGUGAAAUCCCCGGGCUCAACCUGGGAACUGCAUUUCAGACUGGCGAACUGGAGUCUGGUAGAGGGGGGUGGAAUUUCCUGUGUAGCGGUGAAAUGCGUAGAUAUAGGAAGGAACAUCAGUGGCGAAGGCGGCCCCCUGGACCAAGACUGACGCUGAGGUGCGAAAGCGUGGGGAGCAAACAGG